AUGCUUGCUUCUGCUGCAUAUAUACCAAUAUUGGAACAAUACAGGUUAGCAUGCCACCUCCAUAAGGAUGACAUGCAUACAAAUUUGAUUAGUAGAAAUUAAUU
ensembl:snRNA U6 U6 spliceosomal RNA